UGGGAAAGCAGGAAGUGGUUGUGGAGAGAGACGACUGUCCUCGCCACUAAUUGAUAUAUGAUUGAUGCUCAACCAUGCGACGGUGCCGGUUAGCAAUUUAAGUAUCCAGAGGGCUACGUUUUGACUGAAGGCAGAAGAGAGGGGGGUGAAAAACCUGAGAACCGCACACCACACAGUGUGCUCGCAGUCAAGGAUACAAAACAAACAACAGAGGCCAGUCUGCGUGUGUCUGUGUCUCCAGCAACUUGUUUGAAAAGAAACGCACGAGUGAUGGAACGGGAUGACAACAUCGUCAUCCGUGGGGUAACGGCGUGUGUGGGGGCCGGCGAACGGCUCGCCCUUCGCUCGCAACACUUCCGAAAAUAAUCACGAUCGCCUUUGGGGAGGUCUGAGGAAAUAGGGAAGCGGCGUUAUCUCGUCAAUCCAAUCCAAAAAAACAAUCAGAAGGAUGGUCAUCUCUGUGGACUUCUAAAACCAAAUCCCACAAAAGAGUAUUGAACUAAUGCUUCUUUUUACGUCUUCCUACUAAAUGACUGUAUGUUUAUUUUGCACGUUGCCAUUUUGCAUAUAAAUGAGAUGCCGCUGGGGGGGGGGCAAAGCUCUACUGCUUCCAAGAGACGGCAGCGUCAAUGUCUUUCAAUGUACUUUAAUUCGCAUGAACUAUCGCGCUUUUUCUCUGGUGUUUAGCUAACAUUUCUACUAGCAUUUGAGGAAGGGGUGGCCGGGCUCUGAGCUAGAAACGUUAGACAAUGCAGGCCGAUUGCUUAGGCAUUGCAUCAUUGCUGUGCAACUUCUUUUUCCCAUGCUUCGAGCAUGGAUGAACUGCAAAAAAAAAAGAAAAGAGGCCUAUUAAAGUACAUGGGACUUUUUUUUUUAGUUGUAUUCAUGCUCGUAAAAAGAGUUUGACCGUAGUUUGAGAGGAAAAUGUGUCCUCACUAGACCUCUGGUGACUUGGACCAUGGCUCUUUUGUGACUCAAUCUGCAGUAAAGUUAUAGACUGCAACUUUAGCGUCAGCACUAGCUGUCAAUUGACUAUACUGCCAUAUAUAUUUGUAAUUUAUGCUUUGAAAUUCAUUUGUGUUUUAAAGUGUUAGAACUCUUUCCAACAACAUGCAUUUGAAGCAGCGCUGAGUAACGAUGCAGACAAUAAUCUCACGCUAGCCACGGAGGAGCUAUAUAAGCUAUAUGCUUUGUUUGCUUUCAUUUCAUUGCCAAAGUUGCAUGCUAAAACAGCAGAUUAGAAUUUGAACAGAGCUGUGACUUGCAAGCAAAACAAGUGUGAGAGUGCGUGUACGCCUGCAUGUGAGUGAGAGAGAGAGAGAGAGAGAGAGACCGAGAGAGACUGAAUAAAGACAUUGAGGGGAUUUCCUGGUGCCGAGUGACACAUCAUGGCAAAGGCAUCCGGCAGGAUUAGCAGCCGCAGCCAAACUUGUACUCACUUUGGUUCCACGCGUCCAAAAAAUUCGGCCUUACAAAUAUACGCGAAUAACUGUGGCCUGUUUGAGAAGUUAACAUUUCACUAACAGAUUAUGUGAGCAUAGUUAAUGUUCAAUUCCUUUAUUGAGGUUUAUUUCUGCAAAUGCAUUUUGGGAAUAAAAGUGAUGUGCACACAAAACAUUAACACGGACACACAAGAGAGCAGAGCAGCCUCACAUUGGGUGUCAACUGGAACUCCAUAUUGCGUUAUUAAAAAUCAAAACAAAGUUGGCUAUCUCCAGAUUGGAACCAGGCCUCACCCUUGAGACGUCUUCAUGCAUGCAAUCAUAAUAAACAUAUGCCCUAAAUUUUAGGUUGAUUGGUGAAUUUGCUGUCGGGGUCUAUUCGUAUGUUUUUCGUGAUUGUUUUUUUUUAUUGCAUACUCUUGAUUGAGGAUCCUUUGGGAGAGUUUCGGGAUAGGAGUUCUACACAGUAGAAUAUUAUAGAGUGCUCCUUUUUUAUGUAAUAUUUUUUUCAAUAUAUUUUUUUGAGGGGAGCUAGAACAUUCACUUUAAUUGACGAGUAAAAGGGCAGUGAAGUCAAGUUACCUUGUAAAUUCCUGGGCUGUCGGAGUCCAUUUUGGAGACCGUCAUCUGUAAAAACAAGGCAGGUCCAAAACAUGCUUGGUUUAGUCUGCUUGGACAAAAAAAUAUUGAUCUGAAUAUCGCAAAGCUUUAUCGUCUCAAUUGUGGCCGUAUACCUGCACAAUGUACGGACUUUAAAAGUGCAUUAAACGGAGGGAACAUUUCACAACAAUGUCGUAAAAAUAAACGGCCCAUCUGGUGCGCACUUUUUUUUUUAUGUGUUAUUUUCUUUUCUCCCGCCAGAGGAAGUGUGAGGAAGGUGCGCUCUCGCUCGUGCACCGCCACUCACCCAUGUUUACUGUCAUCAUCAGGAAGUGGCCCCGAUGAACUUGAGCACGGAGCUCAACUUCUCUCGGCCGGCGGCGGACACUUCACCCUGCAAGACACAAACACUUUUUCAGGCAUGCAAACGAGAAGUGUGCUUUCGAUGAAUGCAAAAACAGGACGCAGGUGGUACUUUCCACACUUUUCCCUAGAUUGGCAUUUCAUCGUUAUUUAACCAGGGACGCUCUCAUGAGAGCGACGUAUCCUUUUUUGACAGUCAAGCUGCUUGCGGAUUCCUGUGAAUUCCCUCAAGUCUUGGCUGUUUCCGAGAGGCGGCGGCGGCGGUGGAGGAAUUGCGGCGUGUUUGAUGUUGCUUCCAAGUCCUCUCCUACCCUCCCCUACAACGCCCCCGCUUCAGGUUGUCACAGUGACAUGAACGGAGCGCUCCGGAAUUCCAAGAGGGCCAAUAAACACACCACAGAAGACAGGUAAUGGUGAUGACAAGGGUAAAGUGUGCUAAUAACCAUGGAGUCAUUUUCUAUAGUAGCAAGGGUUUUCUUAUUUAUCUGUGCAUCAAAAUUAAAUAAAUGUACUUUUGAACA